AUAGCGUAUAUUAAAGUUGUUGCAGUUAAAAAGCUCGUAGUUGAAUUUCGAGCUUGACAAACGGUCUUGGCACUUGCUUAGUACUGUUCUGUUGAGCUCUUCCUUCUAGGGAACUAGAGUGCCUUUAAUUGGGUGUUUUAGGGAACUAGGACUUUUACUGUGAAAAAAUUAGAGUGUUUAAAGCAGGCUUACGCUUGAAUACAUUAGCAUGGAAUAAUAGAAUAGGACUUUGGUUCUAUUUUGUUGGUUUCUAGGACCAAAGUAAUGAUUAAUAGGGAUAGUUGGGGGCAUUAGUAUUGAACUGUCAGAGGUGAAAUUCUUGGAUUUGUUGAAGACUAACUACUG
rnacentral:rRNA from 1 species